CUUGCACGUAAUAAUUCAGUUAAGGAGCUCAGCAAAGGAGUUCAGAAGGAGAUGCAUGCAGGGAUUGCUGGCGUUGCACGAAUGAUUGAGCGGUUAGAUCUUACCUCAAAACGAACUGGAGCCUCCAGUCCAGUUUCUGAUUUGAGGCCAGGGGCAUCAGACUUCUCCUUGAAGGGAAAGGCCAUGCAAGAGAACAUUAUUGCUCAGGCACUAGAGAAAAGAAGUGAGGAAAUUGCACUUGCUACAAGCUUGGAUGUUUCUUCACAUGUCUCCUGCACUGUCCCAAGUCGACUGGAUGUUCUCCAUGUACAGAGAGGUCAUUGAUCCUGUGGAGA
rnacentral:misc_RNA from 1 species